AAGUCCAGGCCCUGUGAUAUUCGUUAAAGUUGUGGGUCAUUGAAAAAGCUUUGGGUUUCAGAGGGAGCGUGCUAGGGUUUCUACAGAGUUGAAAAUGUCACUCAAGAAGCAAGUUGUGCUUCUUUCCAAACCCUGCUUUCUUCUUCCAUCAACCUCUUGCUACCAUUCUCAUUCUCACUCUCACUCUCACUCUCUGCCUCCUUCCAUUCACAAUGUUGAUGAUGCCGUAUCCUUAUUCAACCGCUUGCUCCAAACGAGUCCUACCCCAUCCAUCAUCGAAUUUGGUAAGAUUUUAACCACCCUCGUGAAGAUGAAGCAUUACCCCACUGCUAUUUCCCUUUCUCACCAAAUGGAAUCUAAGGGAAUUAUUUCUAACAUUGUUACUAUGAGCAUCUUGAUCAAUUGUUACUGCCACAUAGGUCAAAUACCUUUCGCCUUUUCUGUACUCGCUAAACUUCUCAAGAAGGGUUAUCAGCCCAACACUGUCACCUUCACUACACUUAUCAAAGGCCUCUGUCUUAAUGGUCACGUUCAGAGAGCACUGCAAUUUCAUGAUCAUGUCGUGGCACAGGGGUUUCACUUGGAUCAAGUUAGUUACGGGACCUUGAUUAACGGAUUAUGUAAGAUGGGAAAAACAAGAGCUUCAUUGCAGUUGCUGCGAAAUAUUGAAGGGAAAUUGGUAAAGCCUAAUGUGGUAAUGUACAACACUAUCAUUGAUAGCUUGUGCAAAGAUAAACUUGUUAGUGAUGCGUUUAAUUUAUAUUCUGAAAUGGUUGCCAAGAGAGUUUUACCUGAUGUUUUCACUUACAAUGCUUUAAUAUAUGGCUUUAGCAUUGAGGGUCAAUUGAAAGAAGCAAUUGAUUUGUUCGCUGAAAUGGUGAUAAAAAACAUUGACCCGGAUGCUUAUACUUUUAAUAUACUGGUCGAUGGUUUAUGUAAGGAAGGAAAGGUGAAAGAAGCUAAAACUGUGUUAGCCUUGAUGAUGAAACAAGGUUUGAAACCUUAUGUUGUUACUUAUAAUUCUUUAAUGUAUGGGUAUUGCCUAGUUAGUGAAGUAAACAAGGCCAAAUACAUGUUGAACUUCAUGGCCCAAAGGGGAGUGACUCCUAAUGUCCAGAGCUACAGUAUUAUCAUUAAUGGAUUGUGCAAGAUUAGAAAGGUGGAUGAAGCUUUGAAUCUCCUUGCAGAAAUGGACUUAAAAAACAUUAUUCCUGAUACAGUCAUGUACAGUUCUCUUAUUGACGGUUUAUGCAAAUCAGGGAGAAUCUCUCAUGCUUGGAAGCUUGUUGAUGAGAUGCAUGUUAAAGGUCAACCAGCCAAUAUAAUCACCUACAAUUCUUUAUUGGAUGCUUUAUGCAAAAGUCAUCAUGUUGACAAGGCAAUUGCUUUAAUCCAGAAAAUUAAAGACCAGGGUAUUCAGCUAGAUGUGCGCACAUACAGUAUACUUAUGGAUGGACUGUGCAAAGAAGGAAGACUUAAGAAUGCACAAGAUGUUUUUCAGGAUCUUUUAACUAAAGGCUAUCAUGUAACUGUCCCAAUAUAUACUAUUAUGAUCAAUGGGCUUUGUAAAGAGGGUUUGUUUGAUGAAGCAUUGGCCUUGCUGUCUAAAAUGGAAGACAAUGGUUGCAUGCCUAAUGCUAUAACUUUCGAAACAAUCAUUCGUGCUCUAUUUGAGAAGGGUGAGAAUUAUAUGGCAGAGAAACUUCUACGUGAAAUGAUGGCAAGAGGUCUAUUGGAAAAGUAAAAAUAGGGUGACAACUACAUGCAUGCUAGUUCAUUUGGCAUUAGAAACAGAUCAUACCACUGAAAAACGUCUCAAUAAAGAAAUGGAUUGAGGGAAUGCAGCUGAGGAGGAAAGAAGAACAUAGAAUGGCAGAGUCAGGCCUUGAAAGACAUCCAAAUAUAUGACCAAGUAUGCACAUGCCCAGAUUUUGGCAAGUGUUUCACUGGCUUUGUUACAAAUUGGAUUGUUUUGCGGGUGGUUUACUUCAUGAUUAGUUAGCAGUUAGCAAAGUUGGAAUCUUCUACUGUCAAGUUCGGCAUUUAGUUAACCACCCAUGCAUAUGUGACUUGUCUAAUAAUUAUCAGGAUGAUUGGCUCAAGAUAUCAGCAAUUAUCUGUAGAAAUCUGCAGUUAUGGUAAGCAGAUGAUGAAGAAGAUAUGCCUGUGCUGAUGCCAGGGGAUGUGAUCCCAAAAUUCAUGGCCUCCAAGGGAUGAAAGGAUUUCAAUUCGUGUGGACAAGGCAGCAACUACUGAUUCUUACAUUAGCAGAAAUGUGGUUCUUUCUGCAUACUUGAACUCAUAUUUUGCUGACUCUUCUAGCGUAUCAAGGUUUCGAAAACAACAGACUUAAUAGUCUUGAGCUGAAAAAAGACUGGAUUUGCAUGUCAUCUUAAUAGACGAGAUUGAAAGAGAAAGAAGUGACUGGUGGUCAGGUUAGAGGCAUAGUACAGUCUAGUGACCGUUGAUUCUCCAUAGAAAUGGACUGAGUACUUAAAUAGCUUGCUGAUACUCUAUCAACCGGGCCUGAUGAGAAUUUGACUUGUCCCCGGUGAAAUGUUAGGUCUGCUUAUUGGCAUUUUUCUACCGUUACCAACUAUCUUAUCAUCAGAGCUUUGACUCUAGAUCCUUGCACUGUUGUUCUGCUUGUUCCUGCAUGGUGCUCACCGCAACAAUAUGAGUGAGAGGCAGGUCACAGUUCUAUUUAUGACAGGAAAGCUGAACUGAAAUCUUUUGAUUAUUCUAAAGCUGGUGUUAAAGUCCUUCUAGAAUCUGGUGUGACAAAGAUCCCAUACCUGUUUUAUUGUAACAUGUUUUGCACAAAUUAGAUUAGAGAUUCUGAAAUUCUUAAUUACAGGGCGCGCUAUAUGUAUGGCCUGAGAUUCUGAAAUUCUUAAGGAAGUUGUAAACACUUAUCAGCCUGGAUUUGUAUGGUAACAAGUAGGAGAGGAAAAUCCCAAAAUCACUUGGCAAGUUGAAGUCACUAAAAUUCCUGUAAUCAUGUUUAUGUUGAUUUUUCUUUUUCUUGA